rnacentral:rRNA from 1 species
UACGAGAGGCCCAAACGUUAUUCGGAAUUACUGGGCUUAAAGAGUUCGUAGGCGGCAUUGCAAGUAGGGUGUGAAAGCCCCCGGCUCAACCGGGGAAUGGCGCCCUAAACUGUCGGGCUGGAGUGAGAUAGGGGUGUGCGGAACUUCCGGUGGAGCGGUGAAAUGUGUUGAUAUCGGAAGGAACGCCGGUGGCGAAAGCGGCACACUGGAUCUCAACUGACGCUGAGGCACGAAAGCCAGGGGAGCGAACGGG